CCCAAACCAAUAAAGUUUUCUUUAUUGGGGUUGCGGACAUAUCAUAACGAAGAGGUAUCGUAAUUGAAGAGGUUUGGAAAGACCCACCACAGAAGGUAAUAGUCCUGUAUGUUAAACGAGAAGACUUUAGAUAUGAUCCAGAGUACCACGGGACACGUGAAACCCUGUGGGAAGCAGGAGGGACCACCCUCCAAGGCUAAAUACUACCUAGUGACCGAUAGCGUAUAGUACCGUGAGGGAAAGGUGAAAAGAACCCCGGGAGGGGAGUGAAAUAGAACCUGAAACCCUGUACUUACAAGCUGUGGAAGCACAUUUCUUGUGUGACCGCGUACUUUUUGUAGAACGGGCCAACGAGUUACGUUAAGUAGCAAGGUUAAGCACUUAAGGUGUGGAGCCGUAGCGAAAGCGAGUUUUAACUGAGCGUUCAGUUACUUGACGUAGACCCGAAACCGGGCGACCUACCCAUGAGCAGGAUGAAGCGAAAGUAAAAUUUCGUGGAGGUCCGAACCCACGAGCGUUGAAAAGCUCGGGGAUGACUUGUGGGUAGCGGUGAAAUUCCAAUCGAGCCCGGAGAUAGCUGGUUCU
rnacentral:rRNA from 1 species